GGCAAUUGCAGAAAUUAUACUGUCAAAGCACUUUAGUACAAGAGGAGUAAAACCAACGGUUUUGUGUGCUCUUGCUGAGAUUGUUAGCAUGCGUUUCGUGGAUGGGGUUGGACCUCGUCCAGGAAUAAUGGGAAUUGACUACCCCACAGCUUGCUAGCUUUACAAGGACUUGGGCUACAAGGCUUACAUAGUAGAGUCCGUUGAUGAUCUAACAAAGCCUUUUGUUUCCUUGUACUUCGGCGCUGCCUAUUUGGUUUGGUUAUCACAAUGUGAAGGGAGUAAGUUUGU